rnacentral:rRNA from 1 species
AAUAUUGGAAAAUGGGGACAACCCUGAUCCAGCCAUGCCGCGAGUGUGAAGUUUGAAAUAGAUAUGUAAAGCACUUUAAGUUGAGAGAAAGGGCUUUAGAUUAAUACUCUGAAAUUUUGACGAUACCAACAGAAUAAGCACCUGCUAACUCUGUGCCAACAGCCGCGGUAAUACAGAGGGUGCAAGCGUUAAUCGGAAUUACUGGGCGUAAAGCGCGCGUAGGUGGUUCAGUAAGAUGGGUGUGAAAUCCCCGGGCUUAACCUGGGAACUGCUUUCAUAACUGCUGAGCUAGAGUACGGUAGAGGGUAGUGGAAUUUCCUGUGUAGCGGUGAAAUGCGUAGAUAUAGGAAGGAACACCAGUGGCGAAGGCGACUACCUGGACUGAUACUGACACUGAGGUGCGAAAGCGUGGGGAGCAAA